UACGAAGGGGGCCAGCGUUGCUCGGAAUUACUGGGCGUAAAGGGCGCGUAGGCGGGUCGUUUAGUUAGAGGUGAAAGCCCAGGGCUCAACCCUGGAAUUGCCUUUAAUACUGGCGGCCUUGAGUAUGGCAGAGGUGUGUGGAACUCCGAGUGUAGAGGUGAAAUUCGUAGAUAUUCGGAAGAACACCAGUGGCGAAGGCGACACACUGGGCCAUUACUGACGCUGAGGCGCGAAAGCGUGGGGAGCAAACAGG
rnacentral:rRNA from 1 species